rnacentral:rRNA from 1 species
AUACGGGGGGGGCAAGCGUUGUUCGGAAUUACUGGGCGUAAAGGGCUCGUAGGCGGCCAACUAAGUCGGACGUGAAAUCCCUCGGCUUAACCGGGGAACUGCGUCCGAUACUGGAUGGCUUGAGUUCGGGAGAGGGAUGCGGAAUUCCAGGUGUAGCGGUGAAAUGCGUAGAUAUCUGGAGGAACACCGGUGGCGAAGGCGGCAUCCUGGACCGACACUGACGCUGAGGAGCGAAAGCCAGGGGAGCAAACG